AGUGAACGCUGGCGGUAGGCCUAACACAUGCAAGUCGAACGGCAGCACAGUAAGAGCUUGCUCUUACGGGUGGCGAGUGGCGGACGGGUGAGGAAUACAUCGGAAUCUACUUUUUCGUGGGGGAUAACGUAGGGAAACUUACGCUAAUACCGCAUACGACCUACGGGUGAAAGCAGGGGAUCUUCGGACCUUGCGCGAUUGAAUGAGCCGAUGUCGGAUUAGCUAGUUGGCGGGGUAAAGGCCCACCAAGGCGACGAUCCGUAGCUGGUCUGAGAGGAUGAUCAGCCACACUGGAACUGAGACACGGUCCAGCCUCCUACGGGAGGCAGCAGUGGGGAAUCUUGGACAAUGGGCGCAAGCCUGAUCCAGCCAUACCGCGUGGGUGAAGAAGGCCUUCGGGUUGUAAAGCCCUUUUGUUGGGAAAGAAAAGCAGCAGGUUAAUACCCCGCUGUUCUGACGGUACCCAAAGAAUAAGCACCGGCUAACUUCGU
rnacentral:rRNA from 1 species